GCUUUGACACAAUCUACAUUAUGAAAGCGCUAUAGAAAUAAACAUAAAUUCAAUUGAAUUGUAACAGUAGAUGGAAGUGGGAACAGUGUUGAGUUUCCAAUAGCAGUUUAUUAAGACUGUCACCGGUUCGGUCCCAGCAUGUCCCUUCACCAACCAGCAGAGGCCCUCAUCUCAUACUGUGUUUACAAUAAAGCUCGCACAUGGGUCCACAUCCCUCUGAGUCAUCAUUACAAAGACAAUCAUCUAGCAAGCAAAGGCCGAAACCGGAACAAACAGGUGCAUACAGACAAACCGAAGUGUGGUGAAUAGACGGUCAGUACAGGUGGCAAACAACGUAAACCAAGAAACAAAGCAAAGGGUCAAACACGGCAAGUGUCUGCAACCGUUCUUUGCCGGGCUUGAACCUUGUCAUCAUGAUCAACUCCUCUCAGUAUCCACCAACGUACAUGGCAAGCUACUGGACAAACUGGUUACAGAGGGAAAGCUCUCCACAUGGGGGCAUCUGUGACAGGCCUAUACAUCCACUAACAGGACACCUGUGGAGCGACAGAUAACAUGGAGGGAAUCCAAUAACGGUGGUGGGCCGGUGCUGUGCCUGAGGGGAUACAUAUCCUGAGGCUUCUAGAGAUUGUGUAGUGGCAUUGAUAUGAUCCAAGACCUGGGAAGAGAUGAUGCCAUAGUAUCCAUAAUCCUGGACCAGGCCGUAUCUUAAGCUGAUGCUGUGGCAGUCACGGAGGAGUGGAGAGCAUGAGACUGAUUCCUGAAAGACCGCAGUGACAGACGAGUCCUUGCAUUGAUCCCAUGGGCCAUGCCUGAUCACCCGACAGUGACCUACCCACACCUGCAGCUUCUCCAGGAUGGACGUCCAGGGUUUUCCAGUCUCCGCUGCCUAGACUGCAGCUCUGCACAAGAAGUUUGGCGAGAGGAGAAAUGGUUGUGCCCAACUGAGCCUGGUUUCUCCCCUAGAAUUGUUUUCUUUCACUUUCAUCCAUUGGUGAAUUUUUGUUUCUCGCCACUGGCUUGCUUGGUUUGGGAAUGCACAUCAAGGGUUUUGCUCUUUAGUGCUUGGACUUUCAGCAGUGAAAACACUAAACUACAAUACACUAAACUGAACUUCAACUCUGAAAACUGUACUGAGACAGUUUCGAUUUACUAGACCUUCUAUGUUAAGCUGCUUUGACACAAUCUACAUUGUAAAAGUGCUAUAGAAAUAAAGAUGAAUUGAAUUGAAGCUGUCAUUGUAAUAUUAUGUAGUGUUUUGACUGGUAUACAAAAAUGGUGCAUUUUAUUCCCCCUGUUUGAUGCUGUACUGUUGUUAUAGAUACACUUACAAAAGAGUAAAAAAGUGGUUACUCUUUUCUACAGUUCACUCUUUUGGUGCUUCUAUCGUAGCAGAAAUACAGCCUUUAAUGCAGUUUUACAUCAUGCAAGCUAAUUUGUUUAGUCUAUCUAUAAGAAUGCCAGAAUAUACUAAAGAUGAGUGAGGUCAAAUGUGGCAAAAUUUAAAGCAACAGUCAAGUAAAAUUAGAACGUUUCAUUAAAAUAUGCCACUGUGCUUUUAAAGUAAAGCACCUUAAACAAAAUUCGAAAUAUUUGAAAUCUAAUAUUUUAUAUUGUUUAUCUCCGUAUGAUAGAAUGAAACAUAAUGAGAUCAGUCAAACCAUUACAAUCAGAAAUCCAUUUUAUAAAAUCUUCUGGCCACUAUGUCAUAACA